rnacentral:rRNA from 1 species
AUGACUAGUGGCUUUCGUUGUCUUUCCUUCCUGUCUUGGAAUGUUCAGGGGCUUGACGACCCGGACAAGUGUGAUCUUGUCCGGGACGCUCUCUACGCCGCGGGUCCUUCUGUCGUUUGUCUUCAAGAGACCAAACUUGCUUCUCUACGUAAUCUCAAAGCUCGCUCUUUCCUCCCCGCUUCGUUCACAGAGUUUGUCACUAAAGACGCCGAUGAGACGCGCGGGGGGAUCAUCACGGCCUGGGACCCUCGGGUUUUAUCUCUCGACACCUACUUUCGGUCACGUUUCUCUCUCACAGUCUCGCUUUGCUCCACUUGCUCUGACCUAGCCUUCUCCGUCACCAACGUCUACGCCCCUGCCGAUCACUCCCUCACGGCGGCUUUCGUUGACGACGUGCUUGCCCUCGCGCCCUCCAUCCUGGGGGCGUGGUUGGUGGUCGGAGACUUCAACCUCAUCCGGUGGGCGCAUGAAAAGAACAAUAACCGCUUUGACGGGCGACAUGCGUCCACUUUUAAUUCUUUAAUCAACACGAUGGGGUGGCACGAGCUGCCGCUGUCCGAUAGAUUGUUCACCUGGUCGAAUAAACGGGACCCCCCCACGCUCGCUAAGCUGGAUCGGGUUUUCUUCGACUCGCGUUGGGAUGUGCUCUUCCCUGACUCUUCUCUUGCCUUGCGUCCCCGUACCACCUCGGAUCACUUUCCCCUCGUCGCCUCGGUCUCCACUCGCCUCCCUCAGGCAGGGCGUUUCUUCUUCGAAAAUUCGUGGUUGCUGGACCCUAGCUUCCUCCCCGCGGUCUUACCUGCGUGGUCGCGUGUGCCCCGGUCCCCCUGUGCCGCGUCCCGUAUUGCCCGUCAGAAGAAAGGUGUCAGGUCUGCCGCCAAGGUAUGGAAACGGCACCACAAAUACAUUCCUGUUUUUGAUAACAACUGCAAGUUCCUGGUGGACCUGUUUGACUUCCUUGAGGAGCACCGGCGGCUCGCGGCUGCGGAGAUGGCGUUGCGCGACGACGCCUGUCUGGCACUUGCCAACUCGGUGGCUCGCCAGGCUGCUUUCUGGAGGCAGCGUGGGAAAUGUCGAGCCGUGGCGGAAGGGGACGAAAAUACCGGCUACUGCCACGCCCGUGCUUCGCAUCGACGGCGUUGCAACACCAUCCGGGUGCUCGCGGUGGGAGGGGGUGAGCUCGUCUCCCACAACGACAAGGAGGCCGCCCUGAGACGCUUCUACGCCAACCUGCUGGGCCGGGCUCCCCGCGCAUCAUGGGGGUUCGAUCUGGCGGCGCUUUACACUGGCGCUCCGAUGGUCGAUGGCUCCGCUGGUUGACCGUUCUCUCACUCCGAGGUCCGGGAGGCUGUCUUCGCUCUCGACAGGACCAGCGCGCCGGGGCCGGAUGGGCUCGGCCCGGCCUUCUACCAGGCCGCCUGGAGCGUGGUCGCGGAUGACCCGCUCGCCCUCUUCGACGUCGUCCACAACGGCACUGCUAAUCUCGGCUGGAUCAACCGCGCCCUCAUCGCCCUCCUUCCCAAAAAGGAGGGGACCCCGGGGCCCGGCGACUUCCGUCCCGUCUCUCUUCAGAACGGUGAUGUGAAGAUCCUGUGUCGGGGGCUCACCACUCGGCUUCAGCGGCAGAUUGGGCUCUUGAUCGACGAUGACCAAUCCGGGUUCCUGCCUGGGAGAAGUAUCUCGGAGAAUUUCGUCUACGCA